rfam:Candidate division TM6 bacterium RIFCSPHIGHO2_12_FTLL_32_22 rifcsphigho2_12_scaffold_18199, whole genome shotgun sequence.
GUGACGGAGAGUUUGAUCCUGGCUCAGAAUGAACGCUGGCGGUGUGCUUAACACAUGCAAGUCGCGCGCGAAAGUUUCUUCGGAAAUGAGUAAAGCGGCGAACGGGUGAGUAACACGUGAGAACCUACCCUUUAGUGAAGAAUACCUUCGAGAAAUUGAAGUUAAUGCUGCAUAAGUCCCUUCGGGGAGAAAAGUGGCCUCUUUGCUACUGCUAAAGGAUGGGCUUGCGGACUAUUAGCUAGUUGGUGGGGUAAAGGCCUACCAAGGCGAUGAUGGAUAGCCGGCCUGAGAGGGUGAACGGCCUCAUUGGGACUGAGAUACGGCCCAGACUCCUACGGGAGGCAGCAGUGAGGA